rnacentral:misc_RNA from 1 species
GAUGAAGAACGUAGCGAAAUGCGAUAAGUAAUGUGAAUUGCAGAAUUCAGUGAAUCAUCGAAUCUUUGAACGCACAUUGCGCCCGCCAGUAUUCUGGCGGGCAUGCCUGUUCGAGCGUCAUUUCAACCAUCAAGCCCCGGGCUUGUGUUGGGGACCUGCGGCUGCCGCAGGCCCUGAAAAGCAGUGGCGGGCUCGCUGUCACACCGAGCGUAGUAGCAUACAUCUCGCUCUGGGCGUGCUGCGGGUUCCGGCCGUUAAACCACCUUUUAACCCAAGGUUGACCUCGGAUCAGGUAGGAAGACCCGCUGAACUUAAGCAUAUCAUAAGCGGAGGA